rnacentral:rRNA from 1 species
AGAAUCAACGCUGGCGGCGUGCCUAACACAUGCAAGUCGAACGAGAAAGUGGAGCAAUCCAUGAGUAAAGUGGCGCACGGGUGAGUAACACGUGACUAACCUACCUUUUAGUGGGGGAUAACCUAGGGAAACCUGGGCUAAUACCGCAUAACACUUACGAGUCAAAGCAGCAAUGCGCUGAAAGAGGGGGUCGCGGCCGAUUAGCUAGUUGGCGGGGUAAUGGCCCACCAAGGCAGUGAUCGGUAUCCGGCCUGAGAGGGCGCACGGACACACUGGAACUGAAACACGGUCCAGACUCCUACGGGAGGCAGCAGUGGGGAAUUUUGCGCAAUGGGGGAAACCCUGACGCAGCAACGCCGCGUGGAGGAUGAAGUCCCUUGGGACGUAAACUCCUUUCGAUCGGGACGAUUAUGACGGUACCGGAAGAAGAAGCCCCGGCUAACUUCGUGCCAGCAGCCGC